GUGGGGAAUAUUGGACAAUGGGCGCAAGCCUGAUCCAGCAAUGCCGCGUGGGUGAAGAAGGUCUUCGGAUCGUAAAGCCCUUUCGGCGGGGACGAUGAUGACGGUACCCGCAGAAGAAGCCCCGGCUAACUUCGUGCCAGCAGCCGCGGUAAUACGAAGGGGGCUAGCGUUACUCGGAAUUACUGGGCGUAAAGGGCGCGUAGGCGGCGCUCCAAGUUAGGCGUGAAAGCCCUGGGCUCAACCUGGGGACUGCGCUUAAGACUGGAGUGCUAGAGGAUGGAAGAGGGUUGUGGAAUUCCCAGUGUAGAGGUGAAAUUCGUAGAUAUUGGGAAGAACACCGGUGGCGAAGGCGGCAACCUGGUCCAUUUCUGACGCUGAGGCGCGAUAGCGUGGGGAGCAAACAGGAUUAGAAACCCUAGUAGUCC
rnacentral:rRNA from 1 species